rnacentral:rRNA from 1 species
CCGAGCCCACUCCCCAUGACCGUGGCCUAUUCUCACGGCACCCCCACCCAGUUGGUAACCAGUCUCCGUGACACUGGAUUGGGCGCACGGCGUCGGCGGAGGAGAGGAGGAGCUAAGAAGACGACGGCGUCGGUGGGGGGAGAGGAGAGGGGGUUAAGAGGGUGGUGGCGGCGGCGGAGAGCAGAGUAGGUACAUCGGUCCCGGAUCUGCAGUAGCCGAGUCAGGCGCCGCCAUACCUACUCCUCCGCUCUCGAAGUCUCCGUCCCCGCUCCUUCGUCUCUCAGGAAGGGCUCCCGCGGGGUUGGACGGUCUAGAAGGUUGAGUAGCCGGGUCCGUUCUACCUCGUCCUGCCCCACUGCUAAGGACCGCCGCAAGCGCACGAAACCGAUCGCCGGACGUGAAGGAAGAAGGGGACCACUCAACAGGAACUAGACUUUUUUAUAAAUGAAGGGUGACUAAACAACGAACAGCCGCCCUCGGACCCCGCGGCGGUACCGGUUAUCCUCUUCGUGCCCACUGGCGACGUCGACUCGAAUGUACAUUCUAUCGGGGCUCGGGGGCUGUGUAGGAGACGGUGUGGUUGGAACGUCGUAGACCGGAAACGUCUAAGUAAAUCCAUAGGUGGAUGGAUGUUCAACAAACUACUUUUAGGUUUGACGACGUCCCCGUCUAAUUAUAUACACAUUAUUAUAUACGAACUACUGGACGAGUUUAAACAUGACUGUAAAUGCAGGUCAGGAACUAAUCAAGAAAACGUUUCGUCCAAGUUGACAACUUUCGAUACCUAAAUGACGAACCGGUAGUACAAACUCGACUAUAAGACGAAAGAAAGAAAGAUCUCUAUAAGUUCUUUCUUCUAUCACGCUGUUCCGAUUUCCCGAUGAUACCAUUUUUAGAAAGAAAUAAAACAACACUGGACAGAAUAAACCAAGAUAACACGUAUUUCUUAUGAACCAAAAUAGUUGAGGGUCGAACUAUCAAUUGACGAAGGUAGAUAGUUGAGGGUCGAACUGUCAAUCUACAAAGGUAGAAAUAUAAGAUUAAACUACAAAAAACUAAGUACCAUAUACCUCCUACGUCUUUUACUACCUCGCGUACUACGAAGUCGUCUAAGACGUAAUAACAGUUUGCGGAAAGGACUCCACAAUAAACAAAUGUGGACUCCUACUUUUAUUUCAACAUACAGGGUGAUUAAUCUAGUUGACGAGUCCCUUUUUUUCUCUACACGGAAGAAACGUAAUCGAGGUGGUACCAAGACGGUAUACAGAUUAAUGCUACGUGGGAAAAGUCUGGUAAAGGUGGCGUGUACACACAAGCACGAGUAAAAAACAAGAGACUGAAAAACUAGUACGGAUACUUACGGGUAGCAUAUAUAAACAAGUGACAGAAAACUAGUGUCAACACAUAUGUGAGUACGGAUGACAUAAGGGACGUAAAAAGGAGAUGAUACGUUUGAAGAAUGGGAACCUGAUGAUUAAUUUAGUUCGAACGGUGAAACAUGUCACACUAAUAAAGUACAUAAAAACCAUACACAAUCGAUACUGAACUGACCGAGGUCAGACCAUCUCUUGUGUUGAUUAAACGUAAAGGACCUUAUUUUAAUGAUAAACACUAAAACCAUACCCGAUCGAAACUAAACCUACUAAAGUUCAGUCCUUGUACUCACCCGAUUACAUAAUACGUACUGGUACCCUUCUGCCAUAAAAGAUACCAUCUUAAUCACACCACCAUAUUUUAAUAUUCAAGUGAAGUACCAGCCAUCCAAGUGGCGACGUAAAACAAACAGCUACGGAACUGAAAAUCCGACAGUGUCCAUCAGCGCGCAGCGGCGCCCGCUCAGAGACUAGCGGAACGAGACAAAGUGACAAAGUUAUAAAGGUUGAAUAAUGUACUUACCUAGAUUUUAUUGUUUGAAAGUUGUAGGAUACGAAAAAGAUGCUCAACUACCAAAAAUGAAUUGGUAUUUACGAAGGUACUAUACGACCGUGUAAGAGAGUGAAGUAAGGACCUAAAACGACUGUUCCUAACCUUUAAAGAUAAUGGGGGCUCUUGAUUUUUAAUAGCUGGUGAGCUAAUGUACCACAACUUAAUAAACUUGCGAUGGUUACAGAUAUAUCUUUUUAUUCCUUUGAAAAAAAUUGAGAUAACUCGUUACUCAUGUGAGAUGUUCCAAUCGGAACGACGGUAACCAUAAUUUCAUGAUCGUUAAUAGAAAUCGAUAAGAAGAAAGUAGAUAUAGGACUUCCUCUGGGCUACCGUACCGACAUGUUCACCGUGGGUGAGAUGUUCCAAUCGGAACGACGGUAACCAUAAUUUCAUGAUCGUUAAUAGAAAUCGAUAAGAAGAAAGUAGAUAUAGGACUUCCUCUGGGCUACCGUACCGACAUGUUCACCGUGGGGACCAGUCCACCUGCAACCUACGAAAGAAGUCACAAAGAGAAAAGGGCGUCCGAACUAAAGGAACACCAGCAUUGGGUUGAGGGUUUUCAGUUGCGAAAGAACCUCAGGAUUAGGUAGAUGAACAGGGGGAGAGACAAGAAAGAUAACAUUGCGCUAGAAAGAACCUCAGGAUUAGGUAGAUGAACGAGGGGAGAGACUUCUAUAGUACGAUACCCUGAAAAGCCGUCUUGGAUUUGAUACCAAAAUGAACGUCGAGUCAAAAGUGUAGGAAGGGUCCAAAGUGUUUUUGUAUUUGUACGAACCUACACACAGGAACGGCCGCUGGAGCGACAGAGGUUGGGUAGGCAGACCUGUCCAUCGAACGAUAGGAGAGUAGCACAGAUAACCACGUCAUAGAGUAUAGGAGAGAGCUUCUCUACUCUAUUCCUAAUUUCCUGAUGGUUGACUCAAGAUGUCGAGUGGAGUGGUUAUUACCUUCUGUAGGAGUGGAGUGGAUAUUACCUUCUGUAGGGCUCAGUAACAAAACGUACGAUCUAUUGUUGUUGAUAGUGCAACCACUAAAGGGACUAUAGACCAAGAUGUUCACACAGUAUACCUGGUUACUUUCUUUUCUAUAAAGCCUCUAUUAUUGAUAUACCCGAUGAGGUUUACCAGACUGUCACCUUGGUUGAAAAUAUCCGGGAGUUCAUGGACACCUUCAGAUGGUACGUUCGUAAUAGGCUGCUACUGUGACGAAAAAGCAUGUAUAGUAGAAUUCUGGUACCAGUCUGAUUCUUCUACGGAUUUAUUCGGUACUCCGACGGAUAUAUAUUCACAAAAAGAUAUUUGACUAGAUUCAGUAAGAUGAUAGACAUUUGGUUAAAUUCAAUAAGAUGAUAAACAUUUGGGUAGAUUCAGUAACAUAAUGGACGUUAUGUUAGGUGUAACGUAAUAGAAAGUAAGAUGUAUAGAAUGAAUGAG